AGCAGUGAUCAAAGAGAGCAAGCCUUACACGGCGAUAAGAGUUUUGAUCUCUGAUAGCCAAGGAUGACUUGCCUGUGUGCUCUUGCACCGUCAAGGCUUGGCCUUGGUGUAUCUCUCACUCACAGGCAGUCUCCUUGGCUAGGCUGAGUGGCUCUUAUUGCUCAUGUUAGGCUAAAUUGCAUCUCUUAAUCCAUUACAUUUGCAGACAGUAUUCUCUUGUCCUCAAUAUAAUUGGUGUGUUAUGCUUGCAUCAAGUUAACCAUGACUUAAUCUUAUGAAUAUCUCUGCAGUUUUUAUUGGGUUUUCAUCUCUGGCAUACUUCUGAAGUUGUGAUGGAGUUUUAUGUAGACGUAUCACAUAUCAGCAUUUUAAAACGUCGAUGACUAGAUUGAGGAAGAAGCGAAGGCACCGGACUGUUUUGCUGCAGUUUUCAAGAAGUUUUAGCCCUUGAUAGAUACUACUGUGGAGUUCGCUCAGGUUAUGAGACAGGAUGUGGAGUACGCGGUUUGGCGGCUCAAAGAGAUCCUCUCGUUGGACCACUGAGCUUCUCGCAGCCGCAGAUGAUUAUAACAUGCUUCGAUAUGAGUGAUCGAAUAUCUAUCUCUUUCCCAAAAAAUGUGUCUUUGUAGAAUUAUCACAGUGGGUUUUCACAUAAUUAUUUCUCUAACAUAUACCAGAGAAUAAUGGUCAAACAUG